CAGGGAAACGUACGGGCAAAAGCGCCGUAAAGAUCGCCGUGGACAUGGUUAACGAGGGCCUUGUUGAGCGCCGUGCGGCGAUCAAGAUGGUAGAGCCAGGCCACCUGGACCAGCUUCUCCAUCCUCAGGUAAUCGUCAAGAACCAUGCAUAUAUAUAUGGAUAUGGACGACUUAUCAAAUCAGUAGUAUUAACCAUUAAGCAGUUGACAUGCAUUGAUACCUUUUUUUUUGUUCUUCUUCUCUUGUGGAAAACCCAGUUUGAGAACCCAUCGGCGUACAAGGACCAAGUCAUUGCCACGGGCCUACCGGCGUCACCUGGGGCCGCUGUGGGCCAGGUUGUAUUCACUGCUGAGGACGCUGAAACAUGGCAUUCCCAAGGGAAAUCAGUUAUUCUGGUAAUAU
rnacentral:lncRNA from 1 species